AAGUAUUUUGUAUUUCCCUGUUGAAAACGUAUUAAUAGGUGUACAAUUGACGUAUUCAUCGAUAUUUUAAAACAUUUAUUAUUGUCAGCUUUCUACACCAUAUAUACAAUUAAAAUAAGAUUAAAAAGGCGAUUUCAAACAAGUUUCGUCCUUCGGACCUUUUCAAUAAAUCGCCAUAUUGUAAAAUGUAAAUUAGUGAUGGGCGAUACCGAGUACUCGGUAUUCGAUACCAGCGAUACCACAAACAGCGGUAUCGGUAUCGAUUACUGACGUAGUAUCGUUCGAUACUUGCACCCUUUUUUAAACGACUUGUUUAAUUUCACUUCUUGGUUGAAUAAGACUUAAUGAACCACUAAAAUAACUCUUAAUAUUCCAAAUGUGGUGCAUCAGAAAAUAUUUAUUACGUUUCGGGCUUUUGGUUUACAUAUAGCAUUAUUCAGAUUACAUAUACAGUAAUGAAAAAUUUUUUCCGCUGACCGGCAGGUAUCGAAAGUAGCCGAUACUAGCAAUUUAAGUACUCACUUCCGGUACCGAAAAUUGAAAUUUUGUGUUCAUUUUGGUAUCGAAAUAGGUAUCGGUAUCGGCCGAUACCGAUCUUAAAAGUAUCGGUAUCGGUAUCGAAUUAAAAAUCCUGGUAUCGCCCAUCACUAAU